rnacentral:rRNA from 1 species
UGGCUACGUUCGGAUGGGAUAACCGCUGAAAGCAUCUAAGCGGGAAGCCUUCUCCAAGAUAAGGAUUCCUUCACGCCCUUCGGGGCGUGUGUACCCCCCAUGGAGAACACGUGGUGGAUAGGCCGGAUGUGGAAGCCCUGCGAGGGGUGGAGCUGACCGGUACUAACGGGGGAAGGGCAAUCACACAACCAACCCUUUUGG